UUCCUUAGUAGCGGCGAGCGAACAGGAAAUAGCCCAGCACUGAAUCCCGUUGUUGUAACGGCGACGGGAGAUGUGGUGUUCGGGAGGUUCCGCUUUCUCGUCGUUGUCUUCUCCUGUCCAAGUUCGUCUUGAACGGGGCCGUUUUCCCGUAGAGGGUGCCAGGCCCGUAGCGACGGAGGACGGCGGCGAGAGGAACUCUCCUCAGAGUCGGGUUGCUUGAGAGUGCAGCCCUAAGCGGGUGGUAAACUCCAUCUAAGGCUAAAUAUUACCGCGAGACCGAU
rnacentral:rRNA from 2 species